GAUGAACGCUGACAGAAUGCUUAACACAUGCAAGUCUUUGGCGAAGCUGUGCUUGCACAGCCUAGCCAAGGCGGACGGGUGAGUAACGCGUAAGGAACUUGCCCUGCAGUCAGGGAUAACAGACGGAAACGACUGAUAAGACCUGGUAAAGUCAGGCGGACUCAUGUCCAGCCUGAUGAAAAGAGAUGCUGAAGGAGAGCCUUGCGUCCUAUUAGCUUGUUGGUGGGGUAACGGCCCACCAAGGCGAUGAUAGGUAGCCGGCCUGAGAGGGUGGACGGCCACAAGGGGAAUGAGAUACGGCCCUUACUCCUACGGGAGGCAGCAGUGAGGAAUAUUGGACAAUGGGGGCAACCCUGAUCCAGGAAUUCUGUGUGCACGAUGAAGGUUUUCGGAUUGUAAAGUGCUUUCAGCAGGGAAGAAAAAAAUGACGGUACCUGCAGAAGAAGCGACGGCUAAAUACGUG
rnacentral:rRNA from 1 species